GAUUCGUAACCUCGGGAAAAGGAUUGACUCUGAGGGCUAGGCUCGGGGGUUCCAAUCUUGAACCCGUCAGAUGCUAGUGAACUGCUUGAGCUGCUCCCAUGACGAGAGUGGGUCGUCGCGUGCCGGCCAGGGAAAGACCCCUUCAGGGGCCUUCCUCGGGUUUCGAAUAGUCAACUCAGAACUGAUAC
rfam:Populus trichocarpa scaffold_6_contig_409, whole genome shotgun sequence.